GCGGACGUGGUGAACUUGGAAGACGCGUUAGACUUGGGAUUUAAAAAACGAUGAGAGUUCAAAUCUCUCCUUCCUUA
rnacentral:tRNA from 1 species